rnacentral:lncRNA from 1 species
UUUUUUUUUCUUCUUCCCCCUUUUUCUUCUCUUCUUCUUUCUUUCUUUCUCCUGUGCUUCCACGUAGCUGCCUUCUCUGGUUCCUUAUGAACGAAGGCAGAGAGGCUUAAACGGUGUGAUUUGUAUUUUUGUACAUUUUAUAGUUUAGUCCUUGUAUUUAUUAUAUUUACGAUUAGGUCCUCAGGGUUUACAUAUAGUUCCUCAGAUUUUUUUUUUUUUAACAAAUCCUCCAACUCUUAUGAAUAAGUUUUCAGAUUCAUACUUUGACUUUUUAUCAAAUUUAAAAUAGAUACUUACAUUACAAUUAGAAACUUAUACGAAAAUUCAGAAAUGAGGGAUGUUA